CGCCGAAAUCCGCCACGAGCGGAUCGUCCGGCGGUGGUUCGCCGGACCUGAUGAUGGCAGCCAACC
rnacentral:hammerhead_ribozyme from 1 species